rnacentral:rRNA from 1 species
GGGUUGUGAGGUUAAGCGACUAAGCGUACACGGUGGAUGCCCUGGCAGUCAGAGGCGAUGAAGGACGUGCUAAUCUGCGAAAAGCGUCGGUAAGGUGAUAUGAACCGUUACAGCCGGCGAUGUCCGAAUGGGGAAACCCAGUGCAAUUCGUUGCACUAUCGUUAACUGAAUACAUAGGUUAACGAGGCGAACCGGGGGAACUGAAACAUCUAAGUACCCCGAGGAAAAGAAAUCAACCGAGAUUCCCCCAGUAGCGGCGAGCGAACGGGGAGCAGCCCAGAGUCUGAAUCAGCUUGUGUGUUAGUGGAACGGUCUGGAAAGUCCGACGGUACAGGGUGAUAGUCCCGUACACCAAAAUGCACAGGCUGUGAACUCGAAGAGUAGGGCGGGACACGUGGUAUCCUGUCUGAAUAUGGGGGGACCAUCCUCCAAGGCUAAAUACUCCUGACUGACCGAUAGUGAACCAGUACCGUGAGGGAAAGGCGAAAAGAACCCCGGCGAGGGGAGUGAAAAAGAACCUGAAACCGUGUACGUACAAGCAGUGGGAGCACCUUUAUGGUGUGACUGCGUACCUUUUGUAUAAUGGGUCAGCGACUUAUAUUCUGUAGCAAGGUUAACCGUAUAGGGGAGCCGCAGGGAAACCGAGUCUUAACUGGGCGUUAAGUUGCAGGGUAUAGACCCGAAACCCGGUGAUCUAGCCAUGGGCAGGUUGAAGGUUGGGUAACACUAACUGGAGGACCGAACCGACUAAUGUUGAAAAAUUAGCGGAUGACUUGUGGCUGGGGGUGAAAGGCCAAUCAAACCGGGAGAUAGCUGGUUCUCCCCGAAAGCUAUUUAGGUAGCGCCUCGUGAACUCAUCUUCGGGGGUAGAGCACUGUUUCGGCUAGGGGGUCAUCCCGACUUACCAACCCGAUGCAAACUACGAAUACCGAAGAAUGUUAUCACGGGAGACACACGGCGGGUGCUAACGUCCGUCGUGAAGAGGGAAACAACCCAGACCGCCAGCUAAGGUCCCAAAGUCACAGUUAAGUGGGAAACGAUGUGGGAAGGCACAGACAGCCAGGAUGUUGGCUUAGAAGCAGCCAUCAUUUAAAGAAAGCGUAAUAGCUCACUGGUCGAGUCGGCCUGCGCGGAAGAUGUAACGGGGCUAAACUGUGCACCGAAGCUGCGGCAGCGACACUAUGUGUUGUUGGGUAGGGGAGCGUUCUGUAAGCCUGCGAAGGUGGCCUGUGAGGGUUGCUGGAGGUAUCAGAAGUGCGAAUGCUGACAUAAGUAACGAUAAUGCGGGUGAAAAGCCCGCACGCCGGAAGACCAAGGGUUCCUGUCCAACGUUAAUCGGGGCAGGGUGAGUCGACCCCUAAGGCGAGGCCGAAAGGCGUAGUCGAUGGGAAACAGGUUAAUAUUCCUGUACUUGGUGUUACUGCGAAGGGGGGACGGAGAAGGCUAUGUUAGCCGGGCGACGGUUGUCCCGGUUUAAGCAUGUAGGCGGAGGUUCCAGGUAAAUCCGGUACCUUAUUAACGCUGAGGUGUGAUGACGAGGCACUACGGUGCUGAAGUAACAAAUGCCCUGCUUCCAGGAAAAGCCUCUAAGCAUCAGGUAACAUUAAAUCGUACCCCAAACCGACACAGGUGGUCAGGUAGAGAAUACCAAGGCGCUUGAGAGAACUCGGGUGAAGGAACUAGGCAAAAUGGUGCCGUAACUUCGGGAGAAGGCACGCUGAUAUGUAGGUGAAGUCCCUGCGGAUGGAGCUGAAAUCAGUCGAAGAUACCAGCUGGCUGCAACUGUUUAUUAAAAACACAGCACUGUGCAAACACGAAAGUGGACGUAUACGGUGUGACGCCUGCCCGGUGCCGGAAGGUUAAUUGAUGGGGUUAUCCGUAAGGAGAAGCUCUUGAUCGAAGCCCCGGUAAACGGCGGCCGUAACUAUAACGGUCCUAAGGUAGCGAAAUUCCUUGUCGGGUAAGUUCCGACCUGCACGAAUGGCGUAAUGAUGGCCAGGCUGUCUCCACCCGAGACUCAGUGAAAUUGAACUCGCUGUGAAGAUGCAGUGUACCCGCGGCAAGACGGAAAGACCCCGUGAACCUUUACUAUAGCUUGACACUGAACAUUGAGCCUUGAUGUGUAGGAUAGGUGGGAGGCUUUGAAGCGUGGACGCCAGUCUGCGUGGAGCCAACCUUGAAAUACCACCCUUUAAUGUUUGAUGUUCUAACGUUGGCCCCUAAUCGGGGUUGCGGACAGUGUCUGGUGGGUAGUUUGACUGGGGCGGUCUCCUCCCAAAGAGUAACGGAGGAGCACGAAGGUUAGCUAAUCCUGGUCGGACAUCAGGAGGUUAGUGCAAUGGCAUAAGCUAGCUUGACUGCGAGCGUGACGGCGCGAGCAGGUGCGAAAGCAGGUCAUAGUGAUCCGGUGGUUCUGAAUGGAAGGGCCAUCGCUCAACGGAUAAAAGGUACUCCGGGGAUAACAGGCUGAUACCGCCCAAGAGUUCAUAUCGACGGCGGUGUUUGGCACCUCGAUGUCGGCUCAUCACAUCCUGGGGCUGAAGUAGGUCCCAAGGGUAUGGCUGUUCGCCAUUUAAAGUGGUACGCGAGCUGGGUUUAGAACGUCGUGAGACAGUUCGGUCCCUAUCUGCCGUGGGCGCUGGAGAAUUGAGGGGGGCUGCUCCUAGUACGAGAGGACCGGAGUGGACGCAUCACUGGUGUUCGGGUUGUCAUGCCAAUGGCAUUGCCCGGUAGCUAAAUGCGGAAGAGAUAAGUGCUGAAAGCAUCUAAGCACGAAACUUGCCCCGAGAUGAGUUCUCCCUGAGACUUUAAGUCUCCUGAAGGAACGUUAAAGACGAUGACGUUGAUAGGUCGGGUGUGUAAGCGUAGCGAUACGUUGAGCUAACCGAUACUAAUGAACCGUGAGGCUUAACCUUACAACGCCGAAG